UUGAGUUCUUUUGACAGAUUUUGAAAAUGGGAGCAAAAUGAAAAUUUGAGAGAAUGAUAUUUUCUGUGUUAUGGAGCUGUGGCUGCUAGGGUUCCUUCAGAGAGAAAAUGAUGAAUAUAUACUCUGUUCAAUGGUACUUAAUCAAGGUUCAUGAAAAAGUGGAAUGGAGUUGGUGAAAAGUGUCCUUUUGCCAAUUUCAAGCAAGUUGGUAAUGG
rnacentral:lncRNA from 1 species